rnacentral:rRNA from 1 species
UUUCCGUAGGUGCACCUGCGGAAGGAUCAUUC